AUGCUUGGCAAUGGGGGUGAAGGGGUGUCAGAGAUUUCUGGGUGGAAGCCCCUUCCUGUAACAGACACGGCUGGCUUCCCCAUCCAAGGCCCAUCUCUGCUACAAAUGCGUGAAUGCCUGCGAGCAAGAACACACCAACGGAGGAACCUGGAGGGCCUCUGCCAGUCCUCUGUGCUGGAUCUGUUCCUCGCUGUCUCCUCUCAGCCAGGAGCUCUCAUGGGCCUGUUGUCAGGAACAGCCACAGAGGUCUGCAGGGCCUGGGAGAGAGUCGCUGCUGUUGCCUUUCUUCUGCAGGAGCUCAGCUUCUGGCCAGGGGAGGAGACACUGAAUCCCACACCAAGCAGGGAGUGGAAACUCACUGGCUGGACCUGCCUCUCACGCAAAGGAUCCCCUGGAGGCAACCCGAGAUCGGUUCUCCUCCCCGCAUUCCGCCAAGUCUCUCGCUCUGCCUAUGGCAUCCAGAUGACAGCACUCCACAGAUUGUCGGAUACAACAAAAGUACUAAGAAAGACCAGAGGCCAGGCUGGGAGAAGCCGAUUUCGAGCCGCCACGUGGAGAUCCGCUAGGGACGAUGAGCCCGGCCUAGCGGUAGUCGCUGGAAGAGCCGUCGGAGUCGCUCACGGUUAG
rnacentral:lncRNA from 1 species